rnacentral:tRNA from 1 species
GCCUGGGUGGUUCAGUUGGUUGAGCCUCCGACUUUGGCUCAGGUCAUGAUCCCACGGUUUGUGGGUUCAAGCCCCACACUGGGCU